GACGAACGCUGGCGGCGUGCUUAACACAUGCAAGUCGAACGGUAAGGCCCUUCGGGGUACACGAGUGGCGAACGGGUGAGUAACACGUGGGUGAUCUGCCCUGCACUUCGGGAUAAGCCUGGGAAACUGGGUCUAAUACCGGAUAGGACCACUGCCUGCAUGGGUGGUGGUGGAAAGCUUUUGCGGUGUGGGAUGGGCCCGCGGCCUAUCAGCUUGUUGGUGGGGUGAUGGCCUACCAAGGCGACGACGGGUAGCCGGCCUGAGAGGGUGACCGGCCACACUGGGACUGAGAUACGGCCCAGACUCCUACGGGAGGCAGCAGUGGGGAAUAUUGCACAAUGGGCGCAAGCCUGAUGCAGCGACGCCGCGUGAGGGAUGACGGCCUUCGGGUUGUAAACCUCUUUCAGCUAUGACGAAGCGCAAGUGACGGUAGUAGCAGAAGAAGGACCGGCCAACUACGUGCCAGCCGCCGCGGUAA
rnacentral:rRNA from 1 species